CAUCGCCAGUCGGAUAAAUCUGAACAAGAACAUAGAGCCUUAAUAGAUUAGAGGUAAUCAGUGGCUGAAGACCUCAUUCAAGGCUCAUUCAAGUGCAGCAAAGACAUUUUUUUGUCCACUCGAAAAACACAUCAUCAAGCAGCAACUCGUUUUCGGCGGGAAAAAAGAAAAUCGUCGCGAUCUUCAACCACCGACGACCUGAAAUCUAAUAAUGCCCAAGCCGCUGCAUGUUUUUAACUAGUCUGGCAACGAGUUUUAUCAGGGUUUUCGCUGCUGUUUUGUGAAGAUAUAGGAUCAGGAUCAUCUGCUGUGGGGCCAUUUUCGCCGACAAAAUGCAAGCUGCAAAUAUAAAUAUCCUUGCCACACUUGAA